rnacentral:misc_RNA from 1 species
UCUUGAUGUUUCCCUGUCUCUGCACAGACAUAAAAUAAAUAUCCUGCUCACAGAGAUAUGUACUUUAAAACACCAGAGAGAACAUAAAGGGAUUGUUACCGUAUUUUCAAGUGAAUUCAAGUGAAUUAAACCAUAGUCUGGGAGACUAAAGCGAGGAACUUGUUUUAUAACUUUAUUAUAUGACAAAUUUUGGUCAUUUUCCAGCCUGUUUGUGUUGUAGAAAUCCACGCAUUACUGUUUUUAAGAUUUAUUGGAUACUGUCAUAAAUAGUUUUAAUAACGAUUUAAUUUAAAUUCUGUGAAGAAAUAGUUUAGAGUUAGGACAAUGUUGAGACUGGUAGGGUUAGAUCUUAUCAUCUUUUCAAUCCUACUCAUCCUACACAGAAUAUCUGCUGAUAAGAUCUCCUAUGCGGGAUACUCGGUUGUGGAAGCAACCCCAAAGAACAAUGAUGAGCUGACCUGGUUAGAAUCUGAUUCUCCGUGCUCCGUCCUAGGGGAGUGGGUAGGGAACGGAGUAGGUUUACUCUGCAGUAGGUUAGAAGCAAACCUGCUCCGCCAACAAGCCAAGAAUCGGGGAAUCAAGACAACAUUUUCAACCAGGCAUUUGGGACGGCAGAUAGAUAAGGAGGAAGAGCAGAACUCCAGGGCGGAUUUGAUCCAACCACAUAAACGACAGAAAAAACGGAUACUAACCCACGAGGAGUUUGUGAACUACGCCACCAUUCAACAUUACCUGGAUAGCCUACAGGAGUUGUAUCCUUACGUAAACGUAUCCUCUAUUGGAAAAUCUAUUGAAGGUCGAGACCUGAAGCUUGUCACUAUCAACGGGGGCAGAAACCUUCCCAAGAUAUUUAUAGAUGCGGGUAUACAUGCUAGAGAAUGGAUUUCACCAGCUUCUACUCUUUUCUUUAUAGAUAAACUAACUAAAGUUCUAAAAAGACAGAAAACGCAUUCGACGAAGACGACUGGCCGGAGGUCUCUAACGGACGAGAUUGAAUGGCAUAUCGUCCCUCUCAUGAACCCGGACGGAUAUGAGCACUCCAGAAACAAGGAUAGGAUGUGGAGGAAGAACAGGAGAGUGAACCCGAAUUCUAACUGUGUUGGAGUUGAUCUGAACAGAAACUUCCCUGAAGGGUAUGGUAUUGGUUCCUCCACCCGGGCCUGUAGUGAGGUAUUUCAAGGUCCAAAUCCUCUAAGUGAACCAGAGAGCAUAGCUUUGAACAAUCAUAUAGAGCAGACGAGUGGUAUUCGAGCCGCAGUGUCAGUUCACUCUUUUGGAAACGUCCUUAUCUUUCCCUGGGGGUAUACAGAAACAGCUCAUCCACAAAAGGCUGCUCUAAGUGAACUAGCAAAUGUAAUAAGUGACACCAUUUAUCAGAAAUAUGAAGAGAGAUAUAAACCAGGAACUGCAAAGGAGGUGUUUGGUUCCUGGGGGGUAGCUGGAGGAGCUACUGAUGAUUAUUAUAUAACCAAGGUCAGGACAAAUUAUAAGAAGAUACAGGUUUACCCACUUAGAAUGAGGCUAUAAUGACGACAUUAACCUUAGAAUAUGACGGAUGAAUCUGGACUUAAAACCAUUUUAAAAAGGGAAUACCGUACAGUUUUACAUUCGAGCUCCCGCAAACAGAUUCUGCAGGAAAUCAUGGAUUUCUACUUCCUCCUUCUAACAUUAAAA